GCCUGACAAAACCUCUAUUUCCAUAGGAAUUCACUGAUCCCUGGUGAUCACUCGACUUUCGAGAAAUGUGUCACCCAGAAAAAUGCCUCAAUCUGAAAAAUUCUACCAUCACUGGAUAGAUAAUUUAAUAUUCUAUCGAUUGAGAAAGUUUGGUAGGUGGCACAUUCCUAUUAAUGCACUAAUAUUGACCUUAAAAAUUUCAAUGCACUUUUGAGAAAAAAAAUCACGACAUUUUCUUCUUUGGCGACAACCACGCCAUCUAUUGGUAAACAUAUGUAAUUUCGCCUCGAACGUUUCUAACCUCAAAUUUUGUUUACAUUUCGAUAAAAAAAUUUAUUUUUUCUUAUUUUAAGCCUUUUGAAGUGUUUUAAAGUUAAAUAAAUAUGUAUUAAAGUUAAAAUGUGAAUUAAAGUGUUGUUUUGUGCCUAAUAUGUUAGGAGUGAACGCACUCGUUUGAACUUAUGGAAUUUUCCGGAAGAUUUGUGGACUCUUUAAGUUUCCCCGGAAUGGGGCGUCAUUGGCGUCGUCGACAUAUAGAGUAUAAUUGCAACGUAUUACUACAAGCUUCAUCUGGGGAUUAGAGAGAAGCAGUCGACUGAAUUCACUAUCAUGAAGUUCCUGUCCGGAAGUGGCAAAACUUUUUUUGAAGACAUCCCGGAUCCUUUCUUCUUUACAAAGAACAUCCCAGGAAGGAUCACAAUCAGUGUCAAAUUGAAACUGAAAUUAAAUGUAAAGUUUUACAGAUCCUUGGAAACGUCGCUACAGUUCCUGAUAGUGUUUCGAGCUGAUACAGCACAUCAGAUAUGUCUGGAUUACAAUCUUUAGUCCCACCGCUGUGUAAUUCAGUGAGAGUCUAGAGCGGACUAACUUCAUUGACUGCUACAACGGUAGUGAUACAACUACCCUCAUCCUGUGAUGAAAAGGGGGCUACUGUUCAGUCACGACACGAUAAAGUGUUAUAAUUUUGAAGAAAAUAGUGAAAGCACACUCCGGCUAUCUCACUGGCAUCCAUAGCAAUCUUAAGCCAAAUUAAGAUGCCACUCAUAUUAGUAAGAAUCAGUUACAAGAACAUCAAUUCCGAGGAAGCUGAGAAAAAUACGUCGAUGAAGGUUUGUUAUUUCAUCCGAGGGAACAUCAUAUGGCCUGCAGAAAACAAAUCACGUUGAGUUGACUCCGAUGCAGCAGAAUUUCUUAAACCUCCUGGUUAACUGGACAUAAUGGAAGGUAAUUGAUUUGUGCGACAGCAAAUACCGUAUCACAGACCUAGAGGUACAACCGGCAUAGCCAAUAAGAUGACCAAAUUGACUCAAAGCUGGGUGGGAAACAUACGUUUUGGUGCAUGCUGGAUGAUUUUGCUUAAGCCUCGGAAAGUUUGGGGGACCGUAAUCUUACAUUACCGUAAACAUAAUGGAGAAAAAUGAAAAUACCACCACAUCUGGGAUAAAUCUACGUUGUCUAAAAAUCUUUAAGAAUCUUCGUCUUGUCAUCUGAUACAGCUGAUAGGAAAGUGGAAGUUCCAGAUAAUAUUACGUUGUGAUGAUUGAUAAGCCUCCAUUCCAUAAUAUACUGUAGAACAUCCUUCAAAGACGAACAGCAUAAGUUUUUGUGUUUUAAAUAUGCUCAUUUCUAAAUUAAAAAAAAAUAACAUAAUUUAAGAUCAAUAAGGCAAAAAAAUCAAAUAUCUUGUCAAUGUCUUCAGCAAUUUUUUAUUAUGUUAUUGAUAACUUUAAAGUGUAUAUUUCUUUCUUUUAGUUGUUUUGAAUCUUUCUAAUACAUUUUAAAAAUUCCAAAAAAAAAUCGUAUAAAAUACAAUGCUUCUAAAAAAUUAGCAAGUUGCAACAUAAACAAUAUAAUUUAUCUUACAAUGGUGUAUUUAUCCCAUAUUAUCAAAAUUCUAUUAUUUAUAAACUGAUUUAUUCCUUCUGUGUUUAUUACAAUAAUUAGUUAUGUCUUGAGAUAGAAGAGGAUCACGAGGUGUGAGCAUGCGCUCAAAUAACCAUAAAAAAAACGCCUAAGAAAAAAUAGAUUCAAAAAUAAAACAAAUUAAUUAAGACAACUUUAAAUUUUUCCUCUAAAUAGAAUAAGGGGAAUAAAUUAAUAAUAGCCUUCUAAAUAAAAUUGUUUUCAAAUGAGAUAGAGAUUCGAGAU